rnacentral:rRNA from 1 species
AGAGCGAACGCUGGCGGCAGGCCUAACACAUGCAAGUCGAGCGCCCGUAGCAAUACGGGAGCGGCAGACGGGAUAGUAACACGUGGGAACGCGCCCUUCGGUUCGGAAUAACUCAGGGAAACUUGAGCUAAUACCGAAUACGCCCUUACGGGGAAAGAUUUAUUGCCGAAGGAACGGCCCGCGUCCGAUUAGCUAGUUGGUGAGGUAAUGGCUCACCAAGGCUACGAUCGGUAGCUGGUCUGAGAGGAUGACCAGCAUCACUGGGACUGAAACACGGCCCAGACUCCUACGGGAGGCAGCAGUGGGGAAUAUUGGACAAUGGGCGCAAGCCUGAUCCAGCCAUGCCGCGUGGAUGAUGAAGGCCUUAGGGUUGUAAAGUCCGUUUUAACGGGGAAGAUAAUGACGGUACCCGUAGAAUAACGCCCCGGCUAACUUCGCGCCAGCAGCCGC